AAUCAAAGUAAUUUGCUUCAUACACAUGUAUUAACUAUUAAUGUGUCAUAAUACCAGUAGCUCUGCAAUGCGGUUGUCCUUCUUGUUUGUUGAAUGAUACUGUUUUUGUUACUUGUUCUUCUGCAGUAGCAGCUAGGUAAUACUAAUGCCUGAAUUACUUAUAGAACCUUCAUUCGCUACUUGCUAUUUGUACUUGUUGAACUUUAAUUUUGUUCUUCUAAAAUUUUGUAGGCAUUAAUCUAGAGCUGUUUAGGGCAGCAGGUGUGCGCAUUGUUUUUCUCAUAACUCCUGUUUUAGGUCCUGCUAAAUAAUAACCUCAUUCUUGAAAGCUAGGCACAUGAACCUUUAUUGCUCCUUUGAGCAGUGUGCAAAAAAAUAUAUGGGUGUGUGUUUGACAGUAUGCAUGUUAUUUUUUGGCUUUGUCGAAUUCUUUUCCAAGUACACCUCACCUCUCACCCUACUGGCCUCACUCUUAAAAUUUUCAUACAGGACCUGAAUUCAUUUCCCAUUCAUUGGCUAAACUUGUUGAACACAAAACUUAUGUGG
rnacentral:misc_RNA from 1 species